rnacentral:rRNA from 1 species
CAGCCGCGGUAAUACGAAGGGUGCAAGCGUUACUCGGAAUUACUGGGCGUAAAGCGUGCGUAGGUGGUGGUUUAAGUCCGUUGUGAAAGCCCUGGGCUCAACCUGGGAAUUGCAGUGGAUACUGGGUCACUAGAGUGUGGUAGAGGAUAGUGGAAUUUCCGGUGUAGCAGUGAAAUGCGUAGAGAUCGGAAGGAACAUCUGUGGCGAAGGCGACUAUCUGGGCCAACACUGACACUGAGGCACGAAAGCGUGGGGAGCAAACAGGAUUAGAUACCCCGGUAGUCCCUGUCUCUUAUACACA